AUGCGAUCCCCCUUUCCAGCCCACAGCCCAGCGUCACCACCGUCGAAUUCAUGGCCGUCGGGAGGAUCUUCAAAGGAUGACUCCGCGUCUCAAGGUGGGAUCAUCGCUGGCCUCGUCAUCGGCUUCGUGGCCUCCUUGCUCCUGUUCACCGUGGGGUGGAGCGUCUUCAAGGGGCACCGCAACAGCCGCGCUCGCGCCCGUGCUGCGGCGGCGGCCGCCGCUCGGCCGUGGCCACAGCUGGAACCUUACCGCCCACGCAGCGACGAAGAGCGGCAGCGCCGAAGCGCCAGCGACCCCAGCCAGACGGCCCGUCUGCCGGCGUUCACGUACAGCUCGUCCGUGAAGCACAACGUGGCGGGCGGCGGCGAGGAGGCAGCGACGUGCUCGGUGUGCCUCGGCGCGUUCCUGCUCGGCGAGACGGUUCGGCUGUUGCCGGUGUGCCUGCACCUCUACCACGUCGGGUGCAUCGAUCCCUGGCUGGACGCGCACUCGACGUGCCCGCUCUGCCGCUCCGACACUGACCCGACGGUCGACGUCGUCCGGAUACCGCCUGUUUAG
rnacentral:rRNA from 1 species